GUGAUUGUGGUUCAGUGGUAGAAUACUCACCUAGCACAUGUGAGGCCCUGGAUUCAAUCCUCAGCAUCACA
rnacentral:tRNA from 1 species